UUGCACGCUGGCGGCAGGCCUAACCCCUGCACGUCGAGCGGAUGAAGGGAGCUUGCUCCUGGAUUCAGCGGCGGACGGGUGAGUAAUGCCUAGGAAUCUGCCUGGUAGUGGGGGAUAACGUCCGGAAACGGGCGCUAAUACCGCAUACGUCCUGAGGGAGAAAGUGGGGGAUCUUCGGACCUCACGCUAUCAGAUGAGCCUAGGUCGGAUUAGCUAGUUGGUGGGGUAAAGGCCUACCAAGGCGACGAUCCGUAACUGGUCUGAGAGGAUGAUCAGUCACACUGGAACUGAGACACGGUCCAGACUCCUACGGGAGGCAGCAGUGGGGAAUAUUGGACAAUGGGCGAAAGCCUGAUCCAGCCAUGCCGCGUGUGUGAAGAAGGUCUUCGGAUUGUAAAGCACUUUAAGUUGGGAGGAAGGGCAGUAAGUUAAUACCUUGCUGUUUUGACGGUACCAACAGAAUAAGCACCGGCUAACUUCGUG
rnacentral:rRNA from 1 species